GAUUUCUGGUAGUGCGCAUUUGGCCCGUCUCGGUUACGAGUUUGUGUGCCGGUAUGCGCCUGCCAUCUUUCUGGGGAAUGGCUCGACCUUCACUGGUUGGGUCACUAGCCAGAUCUUUUACUUUGAAAAAAUUAGAGUGUUUAAAGCAGGCUUGUUGCUAUGAAUACAUUAGCAUGGAAUAAUAAUUUAGGACUUUGGUCUUAUUUUGUUGGUUUCUAGGACUAAAGUAAUGAUUGAUAGGGACAGUUGGGGGUGCUAGUAUUCAGCGGCCAGAGGUGAAAUUCUUGGAUUCGCUGAAGACUAACUUAUGCGAAAGCAUU
rnacentral:rRNA from 1 species